rnacentral:rRNA from 1 species
AUUGAACGCUGGCGGCAUGCCUUACACAUGCAAGUCGAACGGUAACAGGUCUUCGGAUGCUGACGAGUGGCGAACGGGUGAGUAAUACAUCGGAACGUGCCUAGUAGUGGGGGAUAACUACUCGAAAGAGUGGCUAAUACCGCAUGAGAUCUACGGAUGAAAGCAGGGGAUCGCAAGACCUUGUGCUACUAGAGCGGCCGAUGGCAGAUUAGGUAGUUGGUGGGAUAAAAGCUUACCAAGCCGACGAUCUGUAGCUGGUCGGAGAGGACGAUCAGCCAAACUGAGACUGAGACACGGCCCAGACUCCUACGGGAGGCAGCAGUGGGGAAUUUUGGACAAUGGGCGCAAGCCUGAUCCAGCAAUGCCGCGUGCAGGAUGAAGGCCUUCGGGUUGUAACCUGCUUUUGUACGGAACGAAAAGCCCCGGGUUAAUACCCUGGGGUCAUGACGGUACCGUAAGAAUAAGCACCGGCUAACUACGUGCCAGCCGCCGCGGUAA